GCCAGGCAUGGUAGCACAUGUCUGUAAUCCCAGAUACUUGGGAGGCUGAGGCAGGAAGGUCAUGAGUUUGAGACCAGCCUCAGCAAUGUGGAGAGACCCUCAAGAACUUAAUGAAACCCUCUCUCAA
rnacentral:sRNA from 1 species